rnacentral:rRNA from 1 species
GCAGCACGGAGCUUGCUCUGGUGGCGAGUGGCGAACGGGUGAGUAAUAUAUCGGAACGUACCCUGGAGUGGGGGAUAACGUAGCGAAAGUUACGCUAAUACCGCAUACGAUCUACGGAUGAAAGUGGGGGAUCGCAAGACCUCAUGCUCGUGGAGCGGCCGAUAUCUGAUUAGCUAGUUGGUAGGGUAAAAGCCUACCAAGGCAUCGAUCAGUAGCUGGUCUGAGAGGACGACCAGCCACACUGGAACUGAGACACGGUCCAGACUCCUACGGGAGGCAGCAGUGGGGAAUUUUGGACAAUGGGCGAAAGCCUGAUCCAGCAAUGCCGCGUGAGUGAAGAAGGCCUUCGGGUUGUAAAGCUCUUUUGUCAGGGAAGAAACGGUGAGAGCUAAUAUCUCUUGCUAAUGACGGUACCUGAAGAAUAAGCACCGGCUAACUACGUGCCAGCAGCCGCGGUAAUACGUAGGGUGCAAGCGUUAAUCGGAAUUACUGGGCGUAAAGCGUGCGCAGGCGGUUUUGUAAGUCUGAUGUGAAAUCCCCGGGCUCAACCUGGGAAUUGCAUUGGAGACUGCAAGGCUAGAAUCUGGCAGAGGGGGGUAGAAUUCCACGUGUAGCAGUGAAAUGCGUAGAUAUGUGGAGGAACACCGAUGGCGAAGG